UCCCUAGUGGCUCAGAUGGUAAAGUGUCUGUCUGCAAUGCAGGAGACCCGGGUUUGAUCCCUGGGUUGGGAG
rnacentral:tRNA from 1 species